rnacentral:rRNA from 1 species
UACGUAGGGUGCGAGCGUUGUCCGGAAUUACUGGGCGUAAAGAGCUCGUAGGUGGUUUUGUCGCGUUGUCCGUGAAAACUCACAACUCAAUUGUGGGCGUGCGGGCGAUACGGGCAGACUGGAGUACUGCAGGGGAGACUGGAAUUCCUGGUGUAGCGGUGGAAUGCGCAGAUAUCAGGAGGAACACCGGUGGCGAAGGCGGGUCUCUGGGCAGUAACUGACGCUGAGGAGCGAAAGCGUGGGGAGCGAACAGG